rnacentral:rRNA from 1 species
CGUGUAGGCGGCUUGGCAAGUCUGGUGUGAAAUCUUGGGGCUCAACCCCAAGCGUGCACUGGAAACUGCCUCGCUAGAGUCCGGGAGAGGAGAGCGGAACUCCGAGUGUAGCGGUGAAAUGCGCAGAUAUUCGGAAGAACACCAAUGGCGAAGGCAGCUCUCUGGAACGGUACUGACGCUGAGACGCGAAAGCGUGGGGAGCGAACAGGAUUAGAUACCCUGGUAGUCC